rnacentral:tRNA from 1 species
GCCCGCGUAGCUCAGUGGAUAGAGCGCUGCUCUCCGGAAGCAGAUGUCGGAGGUUCGACUCCUCUCGCGGGCG